rnacentral:lncRNA from 1 species
GUGCGGUUCCUCACCCCUGCUUUCGUUGGCUAGGCGCCGGCUUUAUUAUAGUCGUUACAGAUUUUAAUUCGUUGCGCCAUCCGUAGUAGUAGGCAUCGGGGCAAAUGACGCUAUCCCGCAACUAACAAAAAUAUUGGAAAAUUCUGUGUGUCCCUAACGAAAGCAGGCCUGCCUUGGUGUUCAGCAGCAAGCAAGAGAUCGACGGAGACGUCAUCGUCCCGACCACCAUCCAUUGGGCGGCG